AGUGAACGCUGGCGGCAGGCCUAACACAUGCAAGUCGAGCGGCAGCGGGUCCUUCGGGAUGCCGGCGAGCGGCGGACGGGUGAGGAAUGCAUCGGAAUCUGCCCUGUCGUGGGGGAUAACCUAGGGAAACUUAGGCUAAUACCGCAUACGACCCACGGGUGAAAGCGGGGGAUCGCAAGACCUCGCGCGAUAGGAUGAGCCGAUGUCCGAUUAGCUAGUUGGCGGGGUAAAGGCCCACCAAGGCGACGAUCGGUAGCUGGUCUGAGAGGAUGAUCAGCCACACUGGGACUGAGACACGGCCCAGACUCCUACGGGAGGCAGCAGUGGGGAAUAUUGGACAAUGGGCGCAAGCCUGAUCCAGCCAUGCCGCGUGGGUGAAGAAGGCCUUCGGGUUGUAAAGCCCUUUUGUCCGGGAAGAAAUCGUAUGGGCUAAUACCCCGGGCGGAUGACGGUACCGGAAGAAUAAGCACCGGCUAACUUCGUG
rnacentral:rRNA from 1 species